rnacentral:lncRNA from 1 species
CUUCAGCCUGUCUUGAACCCUUUUAAAAAUAUGGCACCAGAAUUGCAUGCAAUACCCAGGUGUGGUCCGACAUGGAGCAGGAUGUCAACAAGGCCUGACUAGGAAGACUGGCGAGCUGUACUGAGACCACAGCUGACAUUUCCUAACACAGGUUCCGGAUACUUCCCUGUGCUCAGGUGUCACGGCUUUGGAGCCUUUCCCGACCGCCUGCUUUGCCAGGGGUGGAGUGGAACCACCUCCUGGAUGCUCCCCUGCAAUCUCCACUCACCUGUGCUAGCACCUGCCUCGUGGUGGCACCCAGCAGACUGAGCGGCUGCCAGGGAAGGGCGGGUUCCACCUGCCUGGCAGGACAGUCUCCUGUGGUCAGAAGUGGGUCCGCCCUCUUGGGGCCCACCCCACAUCAGAGGACACGAUCGUUUCUAGGGCCCACCCUUUUUUUUUACAUUCCACUAAACGCGCUUAUCUAAAUGGGACAAAGUUCUGAUGUGUUAGAGGCCACACCGCGGAAGACUUUGAAUACGAGGAGUUUGUACUCAAUUGUUGACCGAGUAUGUCAAGUGCUUCAGAAGGACGCAUCAGGAUAAAGAUACAGACUUAGCUAUUAGAAGGUACUCGAUGCUCUUCAAGGGUACAGUCAACAAGGGUCUAGGGAGGUGCUUUCAAACUUGUCUGUAUCACGGAAUGGCCUGGAGAGUUCCAAAUACUGUUGCCUGUAUCCUGCCACCAGAGACUAGGAUUUAAUUGGGUCAGCUGGGUCGGGCGUGUGGGAGUGUUAAAAGAUACUCCGAUAAUUUUAAUGUGCACAGAAGUCUGGGAAACACCGUGGUGGGAUUAUUGGGUGUUAUAGGGGUAGUGAGGAUAGACCGGCCUUUCUGAAAGUUGGCAGUGAAAGGAAGAGGUAGCACCACUUGAGCAGAUAAAAGGGUGCCAGGCAGGUGAGGGUUGGCUGGUUUGUUGGUAAGCCUGGGAGACUUGGGAAUCCUCAAUAGCUGAAGAGAAGAAUCAAGGAAACUGGGCUGAUGCUAACAGAGUGAGAAGUUUCUAGACUAUUCCCUGAAGUUGAUGAGUCCGUGGUCCUACUGCAUGAAUUUAUUUUAGAAGGAAAAAGUGGCAACUCCUUCUCUCAGACAGGAGGGUAAAGCUAGAGGGGCAUGCUGAGAUAGAGCAGCAGGCCACAUUACACCUG